rnacentral:rRNA from 1 species
AUACGGAGGGUGCAAGCGUUAUUCGGAAUCACUGGGCGUAAAGGUCGCGUAGGCGGGUUGGCAAGUCAGAUGUGAAAUCCUACAGCUUAACUGUAGAACUGCAUUUGAAACUGCUAACCUAGAGUAUGGGAGGGGGAGAUGGAAUUAGUGGUGUAGGGGUAAAAUCCGUAGAUAUCACUAGGAAUACCGAAAGCGAAGGCGAUCUCCUGGAACAUAACUGACGCUAAGGCGUGAAAGCGUGGGGAGCAAACAGGAUUAGAAACCCCUGUAGUCC